rnacentral:rRNA from 1 species
AUUGAACGCUGGCGGCAUGCUUUACACAUGCAAGUCGGACGGCAGCACAGAGAAGCUUGCUUCUUGGGUGGCGAGUGGCGCACGGGUGAGUAAUAUAUCGGAACGUACCGAGUAAUGGGGGAUAACUAAUCGAAAGAUUAGCUAAUACCGCAUAUUCUCUGAGGAGGAAAGCAGGGGACCUUCGGGCCUUGCGUUAUUCGAGCGGCCGAUAUCUGAUUAGCUAGUUGGUGGGGUAAAGGCCUACCAAGGCGACGAUCAGUAGCGGGUCUGAGAGGAUGAUCCGCCACACUGGGACUGAGACACGGCCCAGACUCCUACGGGAGGCAGCAGUGGGGAAUUUUGGACAAUGGGCGCAAGCCUGAUCCAGCCAUGCCGCGUGUCUGAAGAAGGCCUUCGGGUUGUAGAGGACUUUUGUCAGGGAAGAAAAGGCUGUUGCUAAUACCGACAGCUGAUGACGGUACCUGAAGAAUAAGCACCGGCUAACUACGUG